GUUAGAGUUUAGCUACAAAAUACUGUUGUGAAAUCUGCCUGUCUGACCCUGCUAAUUCCUAACCCUCUGUGCUGUUGUUGAUUCCUGUGUAUAAUUUUGGAUUGUUUCCUGACCAUCCGCUUAGUCCCAUCCCUUGGGGCUGCGUCUCUGAUUUCUGUGUAGGAACUGACUAGGCCUCACAAACUGUUUUAAACAGGGGUUCUGCCUCUCUGAGUUACUGCUCCUAUCUGUGCCGGCACGGUUCCCUAGCCUGUAGUGCUCAUUACAGGGGGGUAUUCAGUGUAAGCACCCUGCAGCCUGUUCUUAGUUGCCUCCUUUUAUAUAACCCCCUUUAUUUGAUUCCCUAACAGUAUUAAACUAAAAAUAUACUUGUGCACAGCUUUAAAUGAAUGUAAAAAAUAUGGCUCUAAUUAAGCAUCUUGUGCUGAUACCUCAAUGUUGUCUUUAAAAUUGCCCACACCAGAGUAUUUCUUGUUACAGGUAAUUAACCUCUUUUGUUCUGUCUAUUAUAUCAAUGAAGUGGAUCACAUUUUUCCCAGAGCAAAUCAGGGGAUUGGAGCAUUAUUUAAAAAUCCUCAGCGGGCUGUAUUGUCUGGUUCCCGUGCUGCUUGUGAUAGUGGCUUUAUUGCUGACACUGCCAGGGAGUGCGGGGGCUUCUGCUUGUGUUCUGGAAGAUCAGAGUCCGAGUGGAGUCCAGCAGGAUGGGGAUAUAAUCUUGGGAAUAGUUCUUUCUUUAUUUAGGUCAAGAAAGGAUGAGAAGGAAAUUCAAUUCAACCACAAACCUUCCCCACGCAAAUGCAAUUAUCCAUCACUUAUAUAUUAUCAACAUUAUCUAGCAGCUAUUUUUGCCAUUGAGGAGAUCAAUCAGAAUGCUAAUAUCUUACCCAACCUAACCCUUGGCUACCGUAUCUAUGAUGCCUGCACCAGUGAAAGUCGGGCAGCAGCCAACACUCUGAGCAUAUUGACUGGGAGGGCGGCAUCUGUACCCAACUAUUCCUGCAAUGACAAGGGAACACUUGCUGCUUUUGUGGGUCAUUUACUUUCCACACUGACCCAUGUAGUAUCGGACAUGACAACAAUUUACAGGUUCCCUCAGUCACCUUUCUUUGUCUGACAUCAUGCUAACCACUGAGAUUGCGCCACUAAUGCUGCACGGCAUACUUAAGGGUGGAGUUACCACAUGGACUUCUGCCUGUAUAACCCAGCUUCUGUUUCAUGGUAUUGCAUUAACCUCAGAAUGUCUGAUUCUUACAGUUAUGUCCUAUGACAGAUAUGCCAAGCAAUACUAGCAGAGAUCCUACAGCACUGCAGAGGAGUCAGGGCAGGAGACAAACAUGGUCAUUAACAGGCAUAAGCUACUACCAGAGAACUAACGGCUUGAGCAGGAUCUGCAAAUAGAAGCUACCGUGGCCAAAAGUACACUGAACAACCAGGAAAUGUAAGGCAAAAAAGGUACCAAAACAAGAAUGACAGGGGAAAUUUAGAGGAGGAAGAGUUGGAGAAUGCUGAGAAAAAAUGGAGAACAUUUUUCUUUAUUCAUGUCUAAGGUGAACGCAGCCCAGGAAGAAGUUAACACUGCUCUGCAUGGUUGCUUCUGGUCUAAACCAGGUCAGCCUUCUUCAAAGUUUUAUUGUGGAGGAGCUUUGGCAAUUAGCAGCUGGGGAGGAAAUCUACAUUUGUAGUCUGUUAGGGUGAAG